UCAUAUUUCAACUAUUUCCGAGUGAUUUCAAAUAUGAGCCCCAAUGCACAACCAACAGGAAAGAUUCAAAAGAUAAUCCCAAGGGCAAGGAUGGUUCUUGCAUUGGAUACUUGUGCACUAGCAGCAGGCAAGUCUCCAUUUCCUCUUUGACCUCCCUCUUCAUCUAUUAGCUCCUCAACUGAAGCUCUAUUAUCAUUUUGAGUGGAAGAGUCAGUAAAGUUAUGAGCCAAGCUCGAUAUCUCUGCAGCAAGAUACUAUUCCUUUAGCAUGGUUGGAUUCAUCUGCCAAGAAGAUACCAAACCGUGUCAUUGCCUCCAUAGAGUUGUCUCAUAAUGCAUCAUAAGGUAUAACAGUAGAGGCAGGGAUAGAGUUAGAUGCAAAGAGAGGGAGAGGGAAGGAAGAAGAACAAUAGUGUAAAGAGAAGGAGGGGUUGACAUGUGAAAAACAUAUUGUCAAAUAGAAUUGAAUGACCAAACGUUGGACAAUGUUAAUGGUGGUACUUUUUUUUAUUUGGAAACAAUAUUUCUUGGACUAAAAGGUAAGGACUCAGUGCUCCUUUUAAAAUACUUUCAAGAUAUUUUUAUCUUUUA